UUUCAGAAGACAAUGAGUCCGGAACAGACGAGUGAAGAUCAUUGCUGGAUAGUUUCAUAGUUCGAUUUCUACCAGUCCAACCGAUUCAUGUCCUCUGGCUAUUUUUCUGUAAGUAUAUUUCCUAAUAAGCAUCUCUGAAUUGUCUAGUUGUGAAGAAAAAAGGAUAUCACAUUGCUGGAGGCAUGAAACCAAGUGCCAGAUUAUACAGUUUCAUAUAUACUUUUCUGGUUUUAUUCAUAUAUCAUAUGGUGUGUCCACAAAUGGCACUACUGCAUGAGAUGCAUUAAUUCUGAAUAUGCAUGUCUAGGACAGUACAACUCCAGUAAUAAUAUAUGUGUCACCGUGAGCUGAGUUCCAACAUAUUCAGUCAAUGCUCUGUGCUGUCUAUGUAUUUAAAUUAGUGGCUGCUGCCAGGUAGUAUGUUGCUUUUAUGUGACUUUGUGCUGGCUGGCUAUAAUUUAACAUUGGCUGAUUUGGCAUCUACGUGUUGUUGUUCAUCAUUAAUUUUGUACAUGACUUUGUAGGGGAACUACUGUGCAUCCGAAGGAGGAUAUCACUAGUCCACUUGCAGUUCAACUAAUGAUCGACCAUGUUCCGGUAUUUUGGAAAUAGUGAAAUGGCAUGUGUGUCAGAUGAUGCUGCUCCUGAUCAUG
rnacentral:lncRNA from 1 species